UUAAUAAAAACCAUAAAUUUUAUGCCUCUCCCAUCUCAAUAUUUAACGGACAUUAACUCUUAUAACAACUAGUCAAAAAGAAAUGUUAAAAAUGAUGAUGUAGAAAAUAAUAAUUUUUGUAGUUAAAAACAAAUAAAUAAAAACUCACUUGUCAAUAAUUGGCUAAUACAUUUAAAAGAUAAAAUAAAUAAUUUGUGUCAAAAAUAAAAUAAUAAUUAUAGUCACUCUUUUCACCAUUUCUCUCUCAUCUCACAUCACAAAACAGUUGCUGUCCUCACCGCCAUCUAUUGCCGUCAGAAGCUAUGCCAGUGCUGAUACCGAUAAUCGAGUGAUGGCAACAGCGUAAUAGAUCGUGAAAGGAUUGAUAUUGCUCCGUUGAUGUGCCUAUUAUUUUGUAUUUUUCAGAGAAGUAUUUCUAGAUUCAUAUUUUUGAAAUAAAAAGUCCCAGCAAAAUCAUGUAAAACCUGAACACAAAAUUCAGCGAUUUCCCCAGAAAACCCUAGCUACAUUUAAAAUCUAAAUUCUCCAAGAAAUUGACCUUCGCUUGCAAACGGUUUGGAGCCUUGUAUCUUGAUGCUCUGUAAGUCAUGAGAUUUCUCAAGUGGGCGUUUUUAAAUGUUAAUCAUGGGAUAUUUCUUCCUUACGUAAGGGUCAUCAUCUAAGAAAAUUGUUAUUGAUGCGGUGGAUGGUGGUGGACGAUGGUGGCAGUGGUUGUAAUGGUACUACUGGCGGCCGCAAUGAAUGACAAGCAGUAAUAGUAAUUCUUUUCAAUUUAUUUUAAUUGAAGAUUGUAUGAUUUAUUCUUCUUAAUGUAUUAGCUAACUAUUUCGUGAAACGUCAACUGUAUUUUUUUGUUUUUAAUUGCAGUAAAUUAUUAUUUUCCA